rnacentral:rRNA from 1 species
AACUUCUAAAUGUUGACCUCGAAUCAGGUAGGAAUACCCGCUGAACUUAAGCAUAUCAAUAAGCGGAGGAAAAGAAACCAACAGGGAUUGCCCCAGUAACGGCGAGUGAAGCGGCAACAGCUCAAAUUUGAAAUCUGGCUCUCGGGCCCGAGUUGUAAUUUGUAGAGGAUGCUUUUGGUGAGGUGCCUUCCGAGUUCCCUGGAACGGGACGCCAUAGAGGGUGAGAGCCCCGUCUGGUCGGACACCGAUCCUCUGUAAAGCUCCUUCGACGAGUCGAGUAGUUUGGGAAUGCUGCUCUAAAUGGGAGGUAUAUGUCUUCUAAAGCUAAAUACCGGCCAGAGACCGAUAGCGCACAAGUAGAGUGAUCGAAAGAUGAAAAGAACUUUGAAAAGAGAGUUAAAAAGUACGUGAAAUUGUUGAAAGGGAAGCGCUUGUGACCAGACUUGGGCUUGGUUGAUCAUCCAGGGUUCUCCCUGGUGCACUCUUCCGGCCCAGGCCAGCAUCAGUUCGCCCCGGGGGAAAAAGGCUUCGGGAAUGUGGCUCUCUCCGGGGAGUGUUA